AUGGAUCCAAGUGAGAAAUUGACUGUGCGGUUUCAUUUUGGUGGGCAAUUUGUUCGAAUUGGGCCAAAUUUGGAUUAUGUUGGUGGGGAUGAGGCAAUGUCAGAGUUAGAGAGGGACAAAGUGUCCCUACCUGAGGUCAAAGGCUUUCUUGGUGAUCACGUAACUUGUAAAGGAAGUAUGAAAAUUUACUUUCUAUUGCCUGGUAAAGAACUAGUGAAUGGCUUGUUAUUUCUCUCUGAUGAUGUUGGUUGUAUGAAGAUGUCAGGAUACACUACUGAUGGUGGAGUAGCUGAGGUUUAUGUGGAAUAUUUUGGGGAGCAUGAUAAUCAAAGUGGCAGUGAAGACAGUGUUAGUGACUUUGAGGAUGAGAUAGGUAUUGAUGCUGAUGAAGAAAGUGAUACUGCACCUGACUGUAUUAUAACUGCAGAAGAUGAUCAUGUGCUUGUAUCAAAUCAGAGAGGAGUGAUAACUGAAAUACUUAGUAGCCCUACAAAACAUAAG
rnacentral:rRNA from 1 species